UCAUAUGCAUAAGAUAAAAUGGGACUGAGGAGUAUCUCCCUUUUUCCUUAGCUGUUCACUUUUCCCAUUUCAGUAGUUACGCUUCCACAGCUUCUCUGCAAAUAUCUUCACACCCAAAAACUCCAAAAUCAAAAUCUCUUCUCACCUCCAUCUCACUAGAAAUUUUACCUGGAUUUUGAAAAAACAGAAAAACGAGUGUGAUGUUAAUCUUUCAGCCGCCUGGUGGGAUGUAGAAAAUGCAGAUUUCUGCAUCAAAAAAAAUGCAAAAAAGCAAUGGAUAGGGUCCCUUUUGUCCGUCGCUUUUUUGAAAUACAUUUUCAGAAAUGGGUCGCUUUGCAGCGCUUUUUAAAUCAAGAACUUUUUUUUAAAAGAAAAACGAUGAUGAUCGUCGCUUUUUUAUUCAUUAUGAAGAACAAAAAGUGACGAUCAAUGUUGCUUUUUCAAUCAUUAUGAAGAACAAAAGGCGACAACCAACGUCGCUUUUUCUAAAAAAAUAUUUUAUUUUUCUUAAAUUACGACGGACAGUGUCAAUUUUUCUGAAAAAAAAUUAUUUUUCCUUCAAUAAAAUGACGAUGUCCGUCACUUUUUGUUCAUCAUUUGUUCUUCACACGAAGAAUAAAAAAUGAAGCACGUUGCUUUUUUAAAAAAAACAAAAAAAAAAUUCUUAAAAGCGACGUGGUCCGUCGUAAUAAAAACGAUACAAGCCAUUGUUUUCAAAAAAACGACCCUUUUUGCGACGCAAAAUAAAGCGACACUUUUCCAUCGCUUCUGGCCAAAAAAGGGAUAUUGGCCAUCGCUUUUGACAGUCACUUUUUAGCAUUUUUUUUAGUAGUGAUGUGUGUGUCCAUACAGCGGACCGUCAAGAUACUUCCUUGAGCUGUGUGGUUCUCUCACAAGACAGCUGCUUAGCUUAGUGGGUGGCGCCUGACAUUUCUAACACUUUGUUUGCAGGAUGGGAAGGGUAAGGCCAAACAUGAAGUGGCUGGAGAGCUAUAAUACCCGGUACAGGUGCUCAGUAUCAGCAACGUAAGUAGUUUGAGAAUCUCCAUCUACAUCCGACAGUUGGUGAGUCUUCAUAGUUCAAGGACUUAAUCAUUCAAGAUUUUGCAGCUUAUCAGUUUAUAUGAUUCAGUAUUCUUUUCAGACAGUUCGAGUUAGCUGGGGGUCUGUCCCAGUGACUCUCUAGUUGUUAGUAGUAGAGGCUUGUCAGACUGCUAGAUUUGAUUUAGACUUAUAAUAUGUGAUUUUUAGAGAUUAUAUUCA